UGGUGGAGUGAUUUGUCUGGUUAAUUCCGUUAACGAACGAGACCCCUGCCUGCUAAAUAGCUGUAUUAGUUCGUAUGUACUGCUAUGAGCUUCUUAGAGGAACUUGCGUCUACCAAGAUGUCGGAAGAUGGGGGCAAUAACA
rnacentral:rRNA from 1 species